rnacentral:rRNA from 1 species
UACGUAGGUGGCAAGCGUUGUCCGGAUUUACUGGGCGUAAAGAGCGCGCAGGCGGUCGUUCAAGUCGCGUGUGAAAGCCCCGGCUCAACUGGGAGGGUCACGCGAUACUGAUCGACUCGAAGGCAGGAGAGGGAAGUGGAAUUCCCGGUGUAGUGGUGAAAUGCGUAGAUAUCGGGAGGAACACCAGUGGCGAAGGCGACUUCCUGGCCUGUUCUUGACGCUGAGGCGCGAAAGCUAGGAGCAACGG